ACGGGAGGCAGCAGUAGGGAAUAUUGCACAAUGGGGGAAACCCUGAUGCAGCAACGCCACGUGUGGGAAGAAGCAUUUCGGUGUGUAAACCACUGUCGUGAAGGAAUAAUGCUGGACCUCGGUCCAGUUGAAUGUACUUUGAAAGGAAGCACCGGCAAACUUCGUGCCAGCAGCCGCGGUAAUACGAGGGGUGCAAGCGUUGUUCGGAAUCACUGGGCGUAAAGGGAGCGCAGGCGGAGAUGCAAGCGGACUGUACAAUCCCGGGGCCCAACCCCGGACCUGCAGUCCGGACUGCACCUCUUGGAUAGUUCAGGGGCAAGCGGAAUUCCUGGUGUAGCGGUGGAAUGCGUAGAGAUCAGGAAGAACACCGAUGGCGAAGGCAGCUUGCUGGGGACUUAUCGACGCUCAUGCUCGAAAGUGCGGGUAGCAAACAGGAUUAGAUACCCUGGUA
rnacentral:rRNA from 1 species